ensembl:snRNA U6 U6 spliceosomal RNA
GUGCUCGCUUCAGCAGCACAUAAUACUAAAAUUGGAACGAUGCAGAGAUUAGCAUGGCCCCUGCGCAAGGAUGACAAGCAAAUGUGUGAAUCAUUCCAUAUUUAA